rnacentral:rRNA from 1 species
AGCUUAUUGAAAUUUGAUAAUAAGUAUUACCUGCCCGGUGUAGCAAUAAACGGCCGCGGUACUCUGACCGUGCAAAGGUAGCAUAAUCAUUUGCCUUUUUAUAGGGGGCUUGUAUGAAUGGGAUUACGUGACUUAAGCUGUCUUUUUCAUUUAGCUGAAACUUGCUGUUCUUGUGAAGAAGCAAGAGUCUAAAAAAAAGACAAGAAGACCCUAUUAAGCUUUACUUUAAUUGUGGUAAAUUAUUCUUUUGUCUAUGAUAUUUUUACGUAUAUUUAAAAGUUUGGUUGGGGUGACCGAAGAAGAAAAGAAUCUUCUUUUAAGAGCAUAUAAACUUUACGUUAAAGGUGUAAGGGGCCAGGAGGUAUUCUGAUAAAAAGAACAAGUUACUAUAGGGAUAACAGCGUAAUUUUUUCAGAGAGCCCAUAUUGAAGAAAAAGAUUGCGACCUCGAUGUUGACUUGUUGUUUCCUUUAGAGGUGCAGCAACUAAGAGGGUUAGUCUGUUCGACUAUUAAAACAAC